rnacentral:miRNA from 1 species
AGUUUGUAUAGUGUGUGUAUAUAAUGCAGUGUGUUUGUGUAGUGUGCAUUAUAUAAACACACUACACAAACACACUGCAUUAUAUACACACACUAUGCAAAC